UUAGAGUUUGAUCCUGGCUCAGGAUGAACGCUAGCGGCAGGCUUAACACAUGCAAGUCGAGGGGCAGCACGGGUAGCAAUACCUGGUGGCGACCGGCGCACGGGUGCGUAACGCGUAUGGAACCUACCCACCGCAGGGGGAUAGCCCACCGAAAGGUGGAUUAAUACCCCAUGGCUUCCCGGAAUCGCAUGAUUCUGGGUGUAAAGCUACGGCGGCGGUGGAUGGCCAUGCGUGCCAUUAGCUAGUCGGCGGGGUAACGGCCCACCGAGGCUAUGAUGGCUAGGGGGUCUGAGAGGAUGAUCCCCCACACUGGUACUGAGACACGGACCAGACUCCUACGGGAGGCAGCAGUGAGGAAUAUUGGUCAAUGGGCGGAAGCCUGAACCAGCCAUGCCGCGUGCAGGAAGACGGCCCUACGGGUUGUAAACUGCUUUUGUACGGGAAGAAUGGCCCCCUCGUGAGGGGGUUUGACGGUACCGCACGAAUAAGGAUCGGCUAACUCCGUGCCAGCAGCCGCGGUAAUACGGAGGAUCCAAGCGUUAUCCGGAUUUACUGGGUUUAAAGGGUGCGCAGGCGGAACGACAAGUCAGUGGUGAAAUCUCCUGGCUCAACCAGGAAACUGCCAUUGAUACUAUCGUUCUUGAGUCCAGUUGAAGUAGGCGGAAUGUAGCAUGUAGCGGUGAAAUGCUUAGAUAUGCUACAGAACACCGAUAGCGAAGGCAGCUUACUAAACUGAAACUGACGCUCAUGCACGAAAGCGUGGGGAUCAAACAGGAUUAGAUACCCUGGUAGUCCACGCCCUAAACGAUGAUCACUCGUUGUUGGCAACUAUAUCGUCAGCGACUAAGCGAAAGCAUUAAGUGAUCCACCUGGGGAGUACGAUCGCAAGGUUGAAACUCAAAGGAAUUGACGGGGGCCCGCACAAGCGGAGGAGCAUGUGGUUUAAUUCGAUGAUACGCGAGGAACCUUACCCGGGCUCGAACGGUGCAUGAAUAUACGAGAGAUUGUAUAGUCCUUCGGGACAUGUAUCGAGGUGCUGCAUGGUUGUCGUCAGCUCGUGCCGUGAGGUGUCGGCUUAAGUGCCAUAACGAGCGCAACCCUUGUCAUUAGUUGCCAUCAGGUCAAGCUGGGGACUUUAAUGGGACUGCCACCGUAAGGUGUGAGGAAGGGGGGGAGGACGUCAAAUCAGCACGGCCCUUACAUCCAGGGCUACACACGUGUUACAAUGGCCGGUACAAAGGGCAGCUACACAGCGAUGUGAUGCUAAUCUCCAAAUCCGGUCUCAGUUCGGAUCGAAGUCUGCAACCCGACUUCGUGAAGCUGGAUUCGCUAGUAAUCGCGCAUCAGCCAUGGCGCGGUGAAUACGUUCCCGGGCCUUGUACUCACCGCCCGUCA
rnacentral:rRNA from 1 species